ensembl:snRNA U7 U7 small nuclear RNA
GAGUGUUCUAUUUAUUUUAGAAUUUGUCUAGUAGGUUUUCUGGAAGACCUCC